AGGGCUCUAAUUGCUACCAUUCAAUGGGUGGAUUCAAGUAUUUACCCAGAUAUGGCCACAAUAUGUUUUUAUUGUUUUCAAAGGAGUUUGCACACAGUGCCAGAAGCUGUAUAAAUACAUUUAACAGUGUAUAUUUCAAUAAGAAAUGAUGCUUUCUUAUUCCUAAGAGUUUAUCAAUAGGAUGGAUGCCACAAAACUCACUUGUUAUGCCAAAACUCUUCCUACGAAACUUCCAUACUAGAAUUUGUCCAGUGCCUGUGAUCCUCUGAGUUGAAGGAGAAUGUGCUCCAUAAUACCUACUAGGAGCUUGCUGAUAGCUGGAA
rnacentral:sRNA from 1 species